GACGAACGCUGGCGGCGUGCUUAACACAUGCAAGUCGAACGGAAAGGCCCUGUUUUUGUGGGGUGCUCGAGUGCCGAACGCGUGAGUAUCACGUGAGUAGACUGUGCCUGUCAUCGGGGUAACAUCAGGAAAAUGGGGUUCUUAUCGGACAGGAGAACCUGCUACACGGGGUGGAUGGGUGAAAGUCGGGGGUUCAGGAUGGACUCGCGGUAUAUCAGUUUGUUGGUGAGGUAGUGGAGUAACAGCGCGCUGACGGGAUGCCGGCCUGAGAGGGUGACCGGCCACAAUGGGACUGGGGUGCGACCCAGACUCCUACGGGAGGCAGCGGUGGGGAAUAUUGCACAAAGGGCGGAAGCCGGAUGCAGCAACGCCGCGUGCGGGAUGACGGCCUUCAGGUUGGAAACCGCUUUCGCCUGUGACGAAGCGUGAGUGACGGUAAUGGGUCAAGAAGCACCGGCUAACUACGUG
rnacentral:rRNA from 1 species